rnacentral:rRNA from 1 species
UUAGCCUACGGGAGGCAGCAGUGGGGAAUAUUGCACAAUGGGGGAGACCCUGAUGCAGCGACGCCGCGUGCAGGAAGAAGGUCUUCGGAUUGUAAACUGUUGUCGCAGGGGAAGAAGACAGUGACGGUACCCUGUGAGAAAGUCACGGCUAACUACGUGCCAGCAGCCGCGGUAAUACGUAGGUGACAAGCGUUGUCCGGAUUUACUGGGUGUAAAGGGCGCGUAGGCGGGAUAGCAAGUCAGUCGUGAAAUGCCGAGGCUUAACCUCGGAGCUGCGAUUGAAACUGUUAUUCUUGAGUAUCGGG